rnacentral:rRNA from 1 species
UUGGAGGGCAAGUCUGGUGCCAGCAGCCGCGGUAAUUCCAGCUCCAAUAGCGUAUAUUAAAGUUGUUGCAGUUAAAAAGCUCGUAGUUGAAUUUCGGGAUCAGUAUGUUGGUCGUGCUUCGGUACGUACUGUCAUUACUGGUUUCUCCCUUCUGAAGAACCUUGAUGUCAUUAAUUUGGUGUCUUGGGGAAUCAGGACUGUUACUUUGAAAAAAUUAGAGUGUUUAAAGCAAGCAUACGCUUGAAUACAUUAGCAUGGAAUAAUGAAAUAGGACGUUUGAUUCUAUUUUGUUGGUUUCUAGGAUCGACGUAAUGAUUAAUAGGGAUAGUUGGGGGCAUUAGUAUUCAAUUGUCAGAGGUGAAAUUCUUGGAUUUAUUGAAGACUAACUACUGCGAAAGCAUUUGCCAAGGAUGUUUUCAUUAAUCAAGAACGAAAGUUAGGGGAUCGAAGACGAUCAGAUACCGUCGUAGUCUUAACCAUAAACCAUGCCGACUAGGGAUCGGAUGAUGUUAUUUUUAAUGACUCAUUCGGCGCCUUACGGGAAACCAAAGUGUUUGGGUUC